rnacentral:rRNA from 1 species
CUAGGUGAAUAAGUGACAGCUAACUAUGUGCCAGCAGCUGCGGUAACACAUAGGUCACAAGCAUUAUCCGGAUUUAUUGGGCGUAAAGGAAGCGUAGGCGGACAGUCUGAUCCAUUGUUAAAUGCACUUGCUCAACAAGUGUAUGCAGUGGAGAUCUCCUGUCUAGAAUUAAUUAGGAGAAACUGGAAUUCAAUGUGUAGUGGUGGAAUACGUAGAUAUAUUGAGGAACACCAAAGGCGAAAGCAAGUUUCUAGAAUAUAAUUGACGCUGAGGCUUGAAAGCGUGGGGAGCAAAUGGGAUUAGAUACCCCAGUAGUCCACGCCGUAAACGAUGGGUAUUUGGUAUUUGGGCUGGACCUGAGUGCCGGAGCUAACGCGUUAAAUGCCCCGCCUGGGUAGUAUAUAUGCAAAUAUGAAACUCAAAGAAAUUGACGGGGAUCUGAACAAGUGGUGGAGCAUGUUGCUUAAUUCGAUAAUACACGAAAAACCUUACCAAGGCUUGUAAUCUUCUGCAAAAGUGUAGAAAUACAGUGGAGUAUAUCAGAAUGACAGGUGGUGCAUGGCUGUCGUCAGCUCGUGUCUUGAGAUGUUUGGUUAAGUCCCGUAACGAGCGCAACCCCUCUCAUUAGUUAAUUAGUUCUAAUGUGACUGAAUCGUAAGAUAUAGGAAGGAUGGGGCCAAGUCAAGUCAUCAUGCCCCUUAUGCCUUGGGCUGCAAACGUGCUACAAUGGUAGGUACAAUGUGUUGCAACUUAGCGAUAAUGAGCUAAUCACCGAAAACCUAUCUCAGUCCGGAUAAAAGGCUGCAAUUCGCC